GGUUUCAUAAUGUAGCAGUUAGCAUGUCUGCUUUACAUGCAGAAGUUCCUGGGUUCAUGCUCCAGUGUAGCCA
rnacentral:tRNA from 1 species